ACGAAGGGUGCAAGCGUUACUCGGAAUUACUGGGCGUAAAGGGUGCGUAGGUGGUUUUUUAAGUCAGCUGUGAAAUCCCCGGGCUCAACCUGGGCACUGCAGUUGAAACUGGCAAGCUAGAGUAGGGUAGAGGGGUGUGGAAUUCCAGGUGUAGCGGUGAAAUGCGUAGAUAUCUGGAGGAACAUCAGUGGCGAAGGCGACACCCUGGACUCAUACUGACACUGAGGUGCGAAAGCGUGGGGAGCAAACAGGA
rnacentral:rRNA from 1 species